rnacentral:rRNA from 1 species
AACGGCCGUACCAUGCUGAAUAUACCGGUUCCCGUUAGAUCACCGAAGUUAAGCAUCAUUGGGCGCGGUCAGUACUUGGGUGGGUGACCACCUGGGAACACUGCGUGCCGUU